UACGGGGAGGGUAAGCGUUGUUCGGAAUUAUUGGGCGUAAAGGGCUCGCAGGCGGUUUGUCACGUCGGGAGUGAAAACUCAGGGCUCAACCCUGAGCGUGCUUCCGAUACGGGCAGACUAGAGGUAUGCAGGGGAGAACGGAAUUCCUGGUGUAGCGGUGGAAUGCGCAGAUAUCAGGAGGAACACCGGUGGCGAAGGCGGUUCUCUGGGCAUUACCUGACGCUGAGGAGCGAAAGCAUGGGGAGCGAACAGG
rnacentral:rRNA from 1 species